GAGUUUGAGGAUAGCCUGGGC
rnacentral:piRNA from 1 species